rnacentral:rRNA from 1 species
CGCCCGCCGCGCGCGGCGGGCGGGGCGGGGUGCACGGGGUGGCUUACGGGAGCAGCAGUGAGGAAUUUUCCGCAAUGGGCGCAAGCCUGACGGAGCAAUACCGCGUGGAGGAGGAAGUGCCCGUGGGUCGUAAACUCCUUUUCUCAGAGAAGAACACAAUGACGGUAUCUGAGGAAUAAGCAUCGGCUAACUCCGUGCCAGCAGCCGCGGUAAUAAUC